rnacentral:rRNA from 1 species
UACAGAGACCUCAAGCGUUAUCCGGAAUCAUUGGGCGUAAAGCGUACCGAUAGGUGGUUUUGCAAGUCAGAGGUGAAAUCUCAAGGCUCAACUUUGAGACUGUCCUUUGGAACUGCACAACUAGAGGGGCAAAGAGGAAGCUGGAACGAACGGUGUAGUAGUGAAAUGCGUUGAUAUCGUUCGGAACACCAAUAGCGUAGGCAGGCUUCUGGGUGCCACCUGACACUGCUAGGACGAAAGCGUGGGGAGCGAACAGG